AUAAUAUCCACACAGCAAGAGAGCAGAUGGUUGUCUUAAGAGGAAUGUGUUGAAGAAAUUCACACAACAGAAGAGUUCGACAGUCAGGCCAAUGUAUGGAACGGGGAAAGGAGAGUGAUAGAACAAGACAUUUUGAUCGAGGGAUUGCGAUCCUGUGUCCAUUGCUCCAAUCCUUUAAGACUCGAAUGGUGUGUCAGUGAGAGGAAAUAUGGUCUAGCCUCCAUUUUUUACAUAAAGUGUUCGGAGUGCAAUGGCAUCAGCCCAGUAUAUACGGGAAAAAGCACAACACAGCAAACAAGUCUGGUCCCGCUAAAUGUUUUGACGUAAACACAAAACUCGCAGCAGCAAUGGUUAAUGUUGGCAUAGGGGAGCAACAAAUGAACAACAUUUUAGCAGAAUUAAAUAUUCCAUCAAUUCACCACAAAACUCUAAAAGAAAGAGAGAGAGAAGUUGGACGUGCAUUCGAAGAAGUUGCAGAUAAAUCAUGCAAUAAUGCACUGCUGGAUGAAAUUAUAUGUACUAACAGCGGUGACGGAACCCAGGUUCCACAGGUUUCCUGUGAUGGGGCAUGGCAAAAGCGAGGGACGGGUCAGAAUUAUGACAGCCUUUCAGGACACGUAACCGUUGUCGGCAAAUACACCAGAAAAUGUCUCGGAUUCGGUUUAGCAUGCAGAUCAUGUCGGAAGUGUACAUACGCCAGAUGGAAUAAAACGCAAGUUAAAAAUCAUAACUGCAAGAGAAAUUGGACAGGAUCUGCGAAGGGAAUGGAACCAUUUUUAACGCUGAAAUGUCUCAAGUCAUUGAAAGAAAAAGGCUUUAAUGUCAAAAAGCUAACCAUGGAUGAUGACACAACCACAUUCAUCAGAGCGAAAAAAGCAAUCUCCCCGGAGUUAACGAAAUCUAGCGAUAAAAAUCAUGUCAUCAAGAAUCUUGCUAGCAAUUUAUACAAACUUCGACAGGAUAACAAGAACUUGAGUGUGAAGAUUAUCAACUAUUUCAAGAAAUGUUUUUCAUACGCAGUCCAGCAAAAUCGAGGUAGCCCAGCAUCCCUGCAGAAAAAUUUGGAGGCUAUUGUUCCCCAUGCAUUUGGAGAGCAUGUCAAGUGUGAUGCACACUGGUGCGGAUUUUUGAAAGCUACCGCACGGCAAAGACCUACACGACGAGGGUCUGCGGAAGUCACUGUCUUGUGUAUUCGCUAAAUAUGCCGCUAAUACCGACAGACUUGCUGAUUUGGAGUCUUCAAAUUCAAACGAGAAUCUCAACCAAAUGAUUGCAAAGAAGGCGCCAAAAUCACAACACUAUUCUGGGUCAGAGAGUUUAGCCUAUCGCCUAUCUGCAUCUGUAGCACAGAAAAAUGAGGGACACAAAUAUCUGUUAGAGGUCAACAAAGCGUGCAAUCGUUCACCUGGAAAACACACAGCAGAAAGGCUUCAAAAAUUGGACGUGAAGAGAAAUGUAAAGAGAGCCAAACAGGGCACUGUCCAGGCGAAGCGGGAUAGGCUAAGGGCGAAGGAAAAUCGGCAUUCUGCGCAAGCACUAGAGGAACUUAAGGAAGGAACAACGUACGAGUCGGGUGUUUUAAUAAAUAAAGAAGAGGCUCAGCUUGAGGAAGAGAUACAAGAAAUCCCUUUACCAGCAACCGACAAAAAACGGACUGUGGUUUCCCCUGCUCCGUCUUCUUCUAGUUCAAUUAUUGUUCUUGAUCUAGAAACUACAGGAUUUGCUACAGAAAGCAGUAUUAUACAAAUUGCGGCAAGAGAUAUAAAAACAUCUGAUCAUUAUGUGAGAUUUAUCAUGCCAGAAAAUGGUUUUGUCCCGCCUGCCGUAUCAAAGCUGACUGGCAUCGAAGUUCAUGGACUGACCAUGUAUUUUAACCUUGUUCCGGUAGAAUUUACAUCAUGCGAACGUGCAGUUGAUGAAUUCCUGGCAUGGCUGAAACAAUACAAAUCGCCGCUGCUUGUUGCGCACAAUGCAAAGUUCGAUGCGCGCAUCCUAGUGUCCACCAUGUGCAGACUUAAGAUGGAUGACCACCUAAAGGACAUCGCUGGAUUUAGUGAUUCAAUACAUCUUUUCAAAAAAGAAUAUCCAGGAAGAGGCUCCUACAAACUGGAAAGUCUAUCAACCGACCUAAUGGAGCAGCAGUUUGAAAACAUGCAUAACGCCGAAGUCGACGUCAACAUAUUGACAGCUCUACUGAAAAGAGUGUCAAACGUACAUGAAAAACUGAUAGACAUAUCAUUUUCAACUGAAAGUGUUCUCGUUAACAAUCAAAAACUGAUCAACAAAAAAAUGUAUUUGUCAAGUUUCAGUGGUUUAAUAAAUGAACAGGUACUCUCUAAAACACAGUGCAGCAAUCUAGCCGCGCAGGGAAUUGGCGAAUUUCACAUAUCUUUAGUUAGAAAACGGGCAGGAACGGAUGGGAUAAAAAAUAUGCUGAGGGGGAAAAUUACAAAACUUGACUCUGUUUUAGAAAAACUUUCCAAGUUCUACAGUUCAAAUAAUGCACAAUGAAUCAUGGUUAAUGUAUGCAUGUGAUCUUACAAAAACAACGUGUUAUAAAUGUAUAAUUAGGGUCAAGUAAGCCUUCUCUUUUCUUGUCUUGUCAGACAGAAUGAUCUCUGUUGUGCUUUCAAAUAAAUAUCCAAAAUCUC
rnacentral:sRNA from 1 species